rnacentral:lncRNA from 1 species
CGCCACACAGCUUGCUCGCGGGAGGACAGGGAAGCUGCUUCACAGAUCCCUUCCCCUGCCUCCUGACACAGAAGCAGAGUAGGCGCCUGCCGUUUUGGGCAGGCAGGUGCCUACUCUGCAUUGAUGGCGAACCUAUGGCCACGUGCCCACAGAAAGGGCCUGGCCUGCCACCUGUGGCACGUGUGCCAUAGGUUCGCCAUCACUGCUCUAUACAAUAACUCCUAGUGGAGACUUUGAUUGGACGUCCUAGAAGUCAGCCACUUUCAAGCCUGCUUAUAAGGGUUAUUCUAAUCCCCUAUCCAGCAGAUAUAUAUACUAUAGACCCUACUAUGAUUUGAGUUGAGGUCACUAUGAGAUUUUUUUAGGGAGGACUUACCCUUAAUCUUUACAUAAGUGGCUCGGAGGAUUAGUAUGAUCCCCCUCCUCUUGUACUGUUUAAAUUAUUUCCCCACUUUCCCUGUUAUUACUUUUUAACAAUUAGUAGAUAUACCACGCAAUCCUAGCAAUAAUAAAGGUAUUUUUCAUAAUUAAGCAAUUGGAUUAGCUGUGGCAUAGUAUUAUGUAGUGUUAUCUUCCUUUAUCACACUUUAAUUCGGCACAUGGGGGACUUGAUCUAAUUAGUUUACAACUCUAUACAGGAGUGUCAUUCCAAUACUUUGGUUCCCUUUGGGAAUAUUUACUAUUGUUUUUGCAGACAGGGUCAGUCCCUUUUAUUGGAAGACACAAGGACCUCACCUUAUCUGUUCUCUUGUCUCUAAGGUUGUGAUACAUACUGGAACUCUACUGGUAUUCUACAGAUUUCUCUAUAGACUUCCCCCAGUUAGUACAUUAUUUCCCAUAUAUGAGAUUAGGGUAGAUGUGAUGUUUUGAAGACUGUAUCUGAAUAUCCAAGCAAGGAUGGGUGGUUUCCCUCCCAUAAAAUGUUGAGUUUAUCCCUGAAUCCCCUUGUGUCAGACUCUGAAACCUAUGAUUGAUACAAUAUCACAUCAUCUUACAAUGACAUAUGUGAAUCAGUGAUAAUUUUAGAGGCAAAUUUGAAUUUAGUUUUAGUCAUAGUCUUUUGACUAAAAAGUCAUUUUAGUUUUAGUCGUAUUUUAGUCAUCUGAAUUGUUUUAGUCGACUAAAUCUCCAGUAGACUAAGAUUGAAUGGGUUUAGUUAAAGCCUCUAUCUGUCCAUCUCUAUGUCUAACUCUAUAUGCCCCUUCCCCAGCUCCUCUGUGUCUCUUUGUGUUCUCCUUCUAAGUGUCUCUCUCCCAAGUCCUGGUCUGUCUCUUUUGCCGUUUCCACAGCUCCUCUGCGCAGUGUUAAUAUUGGCGGCAAAAUGUAAUCUAAUUUUAGUCAUAAUCUUUUGGUUUUAGUAGUAUUUUAGUCAUCUGAAUUGUUUUAGUAUUAGUCGACUAAAAUUUGAGUAAAAUUGUUAGUUGAAAACAAUUAACACUGAUGAAUAUGGGUCUUCUUUAUAUUCAUGUUUUAUAUUCAUGUUUUAAGUAAAUAUAUAUAUAUAUCUCAAACCUUGAUGUCCUCCUAAGAAACAUCUCUGCCAUCUCUCAAAAUGUAUUCAAAUUAGCUGAAAUUAAUAUCUGCUAGAGAACUUUUCUAAAGCCUAAAUUUCAUUCAUAUGGGUCAGCCUUAAAAUGAUACAAUGUGUUGGAAAAACAUUUCCAUUGAAUUACCUAAAAAAUUCUCAUAGAUGUCAGGAGGUACGUCAUUUCAAAUAUUUAAAGGGACACUGUAAAAGGACACUAUAGUCACCAAAACA